CUUGGUCAUUUAGAGGAAGUAAAAGUCGUAACAAGGUUUCCGUAGGUGAACCUGCGGAAGGAUCAUUAACAGUGGGGGUGAUGGGUGUGAGGAUUGCGUGAGCGAUCUCAGCGACCUGAGCCAAAUGUGGAGUAGUGUGAGUCGUAUGAUGAUCACUGCUCCUGUACUUGCUCUCGCAAGAGAGUGAGCAAUUACGUGUACUUAUUGACAUAAAACCAACCAAUUUUUAUUACUUUUAACAACGGAUCUCUGGGCUCCCGCAACGAUGAAGAACGCAGUGAAAUGCGAAACGUAAUGCGAUUUGCAGUGUCUGUGAGUCAUUGAGUCUUUGAACGCACUUGGCACCAGAUGUGAAUCUGGUAUACCUGUUUGAGCAGAGUACGAAUGUGCAUGAGUGAGUCUUACUUUGGUAUGACUUGGAAAUGAUUUCUUGAGGCUGCUAGUGGUGUGAGUGGCAAUGUGAGUUGAAUGAGCUGUGGCCCAUUAUCACCUUGUUACUCAGUGUCACAUGCAGAUAAUCCCUCUCGACAACUUCUAUCUACAACAUCUCUCUCAGAUCAGGCAAGAUUACCCGCUGAACUUAAGCAUAUCAAUAAGCGGAGGA
rnacentral:rRNA from 1 species